UUUCCGGUGACACUCUUCAAAGACCUCAUCAUGCAUGCUUUAUUUUCUUCACAUAAAUAUAGCAUAACAUGCAAGUUCAAGAUCACACGCAUUCAAUUCGCUUCUUAGCAACAAGACAGAGAGGAUUUUUCUUGUGUUGAAUAAGUCCGGCUUGACCAUGAGUGUCAAUGUCUUCCCUCUUAGCUCCUUCAGGCAUUUCCCAGUCAAAUGAAUAGAGAAGAUUAGAAAGUACAAGGUCGAUGGUAGCAAUAGCCAUGUUUAAGCCGGGGCAAAUUCUUCGCCCAGAACCAAACGGAAUCAGCUCAAAAUCUUGUCCUUUUAAAUCUAUAUCACUUCCUAUGAAUCUCUCUGGAUAAAACUCUUCUGGAUCCUUCCAUACUUCUGGGUCUCUAUGGAUCGCCAAUGCAUUCACGUACACCAAUGUCUUGUCUGGAAUGUCGUACCCUGCAAUGUUGCAAUUUGUCAUUGUUUCUCUUGGUAAAAGUAUAGGCAAAAUUGGGUACAAUCUCAUCGAUUCUUUUAUAACGGCCUUGAAAUAUGGAAGCUUUUCGACAUCUUCUUCCUCUAUAAAACCUUUCCCUGCACACACUUUCCGAAUCUCUUCUUGUACUUUCUGCAUCGCUCUUGGAUUCUUCAUUAGCGCAGUCAUAGCCCAGACUACCGCUGCCGCAAUUGUUUCUGUCACAGCAAACGACAUAUUCUGCAAUAUUGGACAAGUUUCAAUAUGUUUCAUGAACUAUUCUGCAAAGAUAAAAUGUUUUGAAAUUGAACCAAGAUGAAGGCUUAAUAAGAGUGAAGAAUAAAAAUAAUUAAAAAAAAACAUUAACCAUGAUCAAGGGCUUGAUGUGUUCUGCAGUGAGAUCCAUUGAGCAGUAAGGAUCAUUCUUCAGUUCAAUCAAGGCAUCAAUAACAUCAUCCUCAUGUGGAGGCAACUUCUUCCUUUCUGGAUCAAGAUGUUCAUCAACAAUACUUUGAUAAAGUUCAUCUGAAACCUUGAACGUUUUCUCAAGGCGACUCGUCUUUCCGGUGAGCUUAUCAACAAUCCCUCCAACAAAGGGCAAAUAAUCCGCGUAAAAGAACGAAAUUAGCAAAUCCUGAACUUCUUUAUGCAGACCUUGAAACAUGCUACGCUCAAUUCCUUCCCCUUCAUACCUUCUGCCGAAGGCGGUCUUACAAACUAAAGUACUUGUAAGACAAGUAAGAAGAUCCUGCAUGUUCAUAACUUUGUUGGAAGAAGCAUUUUCUGAUAUCUUCUUGAUCAUUCGUGUCACCUCAUCUUUUCUAACUGAGUAAAACAUUGAGACUCUUUUGACACUAAGAAAAUGAAUAAAGGAAAGUUUUUUUGUGUGUCUCCAAUAUUCUCUAUAUGGUGCAAAUAUUUGAUCUAAUCCAUUAUAUGAUAUUUUCAUAUGGCUGAUUAACGCGGGUCGGUUACAGAAUUCGAUAUCAUGUGUUUUCAUUACUUCUUUGGCCAUUUUUGCUGAUGAAACAACGACUGUUUGCUUUGAACCAAGUUUAAGGGAGAUUAUAGGGCCAUAUUUCUUAGAGAGUUCAUAGAAAUUUAAACCAAGAACUGAACUAUCAAGUUGGUGUAAGUUUCCAAUGAAAGGAAGGCCUUUAGGACCUGGUGGAAGAGUUGUUGAUUUCUUAGAUGUUUUGUGUUUUUUGAACAAGAAGAAUAGCAAGAGAGCAAAGGGUAAAAGAAUAAGGGGUGACAUGUUUUUGUUCAUGAAUUAGGGAUAGCUAUUCAGCUAUUGUAAUAUAUAGAUAGACACCACCAACUCUUUUUAAGGUACUUCACUUAUAGUUUUGGAUAAGAACGUUAUGUCAUAAUUUGAUCCAUGUAGCUGACUGUACUUAAGGGAUAAGGUUUGAUUGUUUUUGUCACAUUGCAUUUUGAAUACAUCAGUAUAGGACGAAUAUAGACACGAAAAGCAAACAUCAGCCGAUUAAUACUAUUUAUUAUUACCCUUAAAAUGACUAAACCACUUUUUGAAUACAUAAGUAUGGGACGAAUAUAGACACGAAAAGAAAACAUCAGUCAGUUAAUACUAUUUAUUAUUACCCUUGAAAUGAGUAAACCACUUUUUGAAUACAUCAGUAUGAGACGAAUGUAGACACGAAAAGCAAACAUCAUCCAGUUAAUAUUAGUUAUUAUUACCCUUAAAAUGACUAAACCACUUUUUGAAUACAUCAGUAUGGGACGAAUAUAGACACAAAAAGAAAACAUCAGCCAGUUAAUACUAUUUAUUAUUACCCUUGAAAUGAGUAAACCACUUUUUGAAUACAUCAGUAUGGGACGAAUAUAGACAUGAAAAACAAACAUCAGCAAGUUAAUAUUAUUUAUUAUUAUUUAUUAUUACCCUUGAAAUGACUAAACCACUUUUUGAAUACAUCAGUAUGAGACGAAUAUAGACACGAAAAGAAAACAUCAGCCAAUUAAUACUAUUUAUUAUUAUUUAUUAUUACCCUUGAAAUAAGUAAACCACUUUUUGAAUACAUCAGUAUGGGACGAAUAUAAACACGAAAAGAAAACAUCAGCCAGUUAAUACUAUUUAUUAUUAUCCUUGAAAUGACUAAACCACUUUUUGAAUACAUCAGUAUGGGACGAAUGUAAACACGAAAAGCAAACAUCAGCAAGUUAAUAAUUAUUAUUUAUUAUUUCAAGUAAACCACUUUUUGAAUACAUCAGUAUGGGACGAAUAUAGACACAAACAACAAACAUCAGCCAGUCAAUACUAUUUAUUACUCCAUCCGUUUCAAAAUGAGUGUCAUUUUAACCAAAAAAAAAUUGUAUUAAAAUGAUUGUCACUUUCAGUUUCCAAUGCAAUAAUAACAAUUGUUUCAAAAAUUGUUGUACAAAUAUCAUUUCUCUUUUUAUUAUUUGAUUCUCACACUCUAAACUAAACAAAUAUCGAGAUGUCAAUUUAUCCAAAAAUAAAUAAAUAUCGACAUGUCAAUGCUAUUUUAUUAUUUAUUAUCACACCGUAAAUCUCUGAAAACAAUAAGCUUGCACAAAACUGCAUGUCUUCGUGGAUUCAACAUUUCUUUUAAGAUGUAAAAUUAUGUAAAAGACAACGAGUUAAAAUUAUAUCAAUAUAUAUAUAUAUAUAUAUAUAUAUAUAUAUAUGGGGUUUGCUAACUUAGAACAACAAAAAAACGUGAAGGUCCAAGUUAGCAAAAAUGCACUUUUUCAUUUGAACAAAAAAACAAAUAUCCAAAUUGGUAAAUAUCCCUCAAGCUAUUUGUUAUAAAAUAAAAGUGGGUCUAAGUUAGCAAGCAAAUUGGUGUAAGUUAACAAACAUGUUUUAAUGAAAAUUACUAAAGUAACCCUCAAACUAUUUGUAAUAAAAUAAAAGUGGGUCUAAGUUAGCAAAUUGGUGCAAGUUAACAAAUAAGUUUUAAUAUAAAUUACUAAAAGAUUAUCAACUUUUUUGUUAUAACUUGCUAAAAGACACUUUAAUAAAAAUUAGUUGGUGUCUUUUAACAAAUGCCUAUAAGAUAACUUGCUAAAAUACACCUUCAUAAAGGGUGUCUUCUAUAUAUAUAUAUAUACCAAAAAAAGUUGAUUUUAUAUCAUUAUACAUUUCACCAAAUGAUAUACAUUUCAACUAACGAUAUAUAUUUAAUCUAAUCCGCCCCAAGAUCUAUGCUAACAUCAUCAAGAUUAUAGCUUUUAUCAUUUUCAAUCUUCACACCAUCUUCAACCUUCUUCUCAGCAUCAAGCUUCUUUACAAGAUCAACCAUCUGUCUGAUAUAUCUAUCAGGCCAUCUUUUUGCAUCAUCUAGAGAGUGUUGUCACCAUAGCGGGCAAAUGGGAGGAAUUGGAAAACCAUCAUUCAAAUAUAUUAUCAUAAAAUGGUUGUCAUUCACAUGUGUCAGACACAUCAAUCGACCUCUAUGUGAUGGUGCACCACAUAGAGGGAAAUAGGUUUCCAAUCACCCUUUCGCAAUAGACAGUAGAACCACCACAUGUUUGUAUCUCUGUACAAUGAGGAAACUCAUAUCCGGCAUGGUCAUCCAUUUAUCCGGUGGUGCAUGACCAAUAUCGGAAUAAGUUAGAGCGCCUAAGACCUGUUUAUAUCGCCUAUCUACACAAAUCAUCUGUCGAUAGCACGCAUUUUCUUCAUCGAUAAACUCUUUGUGAAGUUGGUAACAGAUCAACUGGCGAGCAUCAACAUACAUGUCACGUAGGUCCGCAACGGCACAAACCCCACAAUGGCCAUCACAACUACAUCCACCUCCUUUUCAAUAAAUUCAUGCAUCCAAUGUGGGAUUUGUUCUUUGUGUGGUAUGUGGACUUUAACCAGAAUUGGCUUAGGAGGAUUAUAAGACAUGUUGCUUUUCCGUGCACUUUCUCUACUUGUCCCUGUUGAAUUUGUAUGUGAAGCACGUGUUUGUUGAUCCUGGGAGUCAACAAUCUCCUAGAGCAAAGGCGAUCAUUUUGUUGACUAAAUGAUAUGUUUAUUUUUCUUUGGAGCUCCUUUAGGGGGUGACUUUUUUUGGCGGUGGACGCAUAGAGGUCAUCUCCUGCAAAGAAAACUGUCGAAAUUGUUCUUUGAUGCGCACCUUCAUGUUGUAAUCAACGUCCUUGAUUCGGGCCUACAAUGCGUACAAAAAUCUGUCAGGUGGAAUGUUGUAGAAAUCUAAGAAAAUAUGCAUUAUGUUUUGUCCAGUGACUAUUCGGAUUAUAUAAUCUGAAACAUCUCAACCCCCCCCCCCCCCCCCCAGAUCAUGCAAACCAAGUACGUCUGCAUGGUGCUUAAAUGAAAAUUUUUCGGAUUAUAUAAUCCAAAAUUCAUUUAAUAGCUUUUCAUAUUAUAUAAUCUGAAUUCAACCAGUACAUAAAUAGAUCACCCUCUUACUCGAACUUCAACCUCAUCUAGUGAGUGUGGAUGUCAUCCAAACAAAUGGGGGUGUUGUUCUUGAUCUUCAUUGCAAUCGUACACGCACAUGGAAAUCUGUAAGCGAUGAAAAUUAAACAACCACACUUGGAUUUAUCCGUACUACAACCAACUACUCGAUCAACCUCGAUUGCGAGAUAAUGCAAAGCGUUCCUUGGUAUGUUUCGAAUCAACCUAGCCACAACAACUUUCCUUUGAACCUAUGUUCAAGCAUGAUCAUGCUCGUCUAGAAGGAAGCAUGUAUUUGAGUAUGUUGUGACUCUAGCAUGUUGUGAGUGGAGUUCCAUUUUGUACUUAAUUCACCCAUACUACUAUAGUAAGAUACUUUUUCAACGGUCUGUGUGCAUAUUCUGCUCUGUUUGUCGUAGUAUUUCCCAUAUGCUUGACUUUAGUGAACCAAAAAUUCACAAUCUAUUCCUUCACCGAACCCAAAAUUAUAUUUUCAACAUAUUUCAAAAACUUAGGAAAUUUGUGGCAUACAACUUUGAACCGGUUGCAAUUAUCAACAUAUGCUUGCUCUGUAUCAAAAUUCACGAUAUCCUCCCAUGCAACCAUAACCGUUUUCACCACCUCACUUAACUUGAUCUCUUUCCCAUCCUUGCCUUUUAAAUCCUUAACUUUGCAAUCCGUCUUACAUUUUGCUCUAACAUUUUUUUAAUGUGAUACUCACACAAGAGAGCAGUAGCUUCAAGGAAAACAAUAUACACAACAUUCAUCAAAGCAUGUUAAUAAUUAGAGACAGCUACAUUGGGUGAAAUAUCUUUGGAAUGCAACAGUUCACGACACCUGUCAUGAGACCAAGUAACAUUAUCUUCCUUCUCAUACAUCAUAUAACCAAAUCCAAUAGAGAACAUGUACUCGAUAUAAGUGUUACUAACAAACUCAAGUAACGGAAGACGAUACUUGUUGGUCUUAUAAAUCGAACCCAUCACAAGCACCGUAGGCAACAUGUUAAACAACUUGAUACCAUUUGGAUGUGCUUGGAAAAUAUCACUUACAUCAUCGGAAUCAUGAUACUUCCUACGUGAUACAUGUACUCCUUCUCAACCAAUUAUUUCAAAAGAUGUUGCAUGCCUGUUCUCGUACCCCUAAUAGACGUCCGACGAUUUUAUGACCUUUCAACACCUCUUCCAUGUCAUGGUUGUGUCUACCGUCACCAACUUGGAGGCUCCAAUCACCAACAAUUAACAAAUAACCUCUCAACCGAAACAAACACUCACAUUUAACUGAACCAGAUAUUUUGUGUCUCUUCAACUUCUUGUACUCCGUGUAUGAACCUCCUCUUUUACAUAUCACAAUAACAAAUGCAUUUAUCCCAUUUCCACCUCUAUCUGAUUUACCAAUAACGGUUGAAAAACCUAGCUUCCUCUCGAAGCCACUUCAAAAAAUCGUUAUGAAUAGCAAACUUUUGUUUGAUGGUAAAAUUUUCUUGAUGAUUAAUAGAAACAACAACAUCUUGAGGUACAACAAUCGAAGGAGCAUUCUCUGCUUUCACAUUGCCGGAAGGAAUGUCAACUUUCGGUGGAGGUACCUCGGGUUUGCCGUUUUCAGAAUCAUCUAUAACUUCAAGAUCAACAACCGACAGCACAUUAGGUGGUUCAAUAUUAGGUGGCUAUUCAUUGGACGCAUCAACAGAAACAUCCAUUACUGAAACAGUGCGAAAGCAUGGUCAGAAAAUGCAAGCACUUUAUGUACUGGUGUUAUUCUUUAUUUAUCACACUCUAAAUCUUUAAGAUAUACACAUCACUGACUUCUUUAAGGCACUUUAUAAUAUGUGUCAUCGCCAUUAAAGUUACAAUAUUAUUUUAAAUUGUUUUUGUCUCAUUUCAUUUUGAAUACAUCAGUAUGAGACGAAUAUAGACACAAAAACAAACAUCAGCAAGUCAAUACUAUUUAUUAUCUUUUGUAAAAAAAAAAAGAAAAAAAAUACUAUAUAUUAUCUAUUUAUCACACUUUAAAUGAGUAAACUACCAAUUUUGUCUUAAUCUUUAUAAUUUUGAAAAACGUUUGACAAUAUUUCUAAAUAGUCUAUGUCUUUGCCAAAAGUUUCUCCAUUAAACGCAUGUUUCUAUGUUUUUUUCGCAUGACGAGAGACUUAAUUGAGAAAACUUUUGACAAAGGCAUAGACUAUUUUAAAAUAUUAAUAGAGUCGGAGGAUAAUUUGAGAAUCACUUACAAAGACAUGACCGAUUUGAUUAUUUACUCCACUUCAAAUCCUUUAAUGUAGACACUACCAACUCUUUUAAGAGCAUCCAUAAUGGUAGUAACUAAUAGGGACUCCUUAAAUGAGCUUCACAUGUACAAAUUAUUUAUUUAUAAUUUUUUAAUAAAAGUAUCUAUUAAGGACUCAAUGACUCUAAAGACAAUACACUAAUAUGGAUUUCAAUAAAAAAUACUUAAAUAUGUCCGACUAACUUUACAUCAUUAUACAAAAGUAAUUUAUUUAUUACAUUAUCAAUUACCUCAUAAAAUAUUUCUUUUAAAAGUGGAACCAACUUAUAUAUAUUUUAUCAUUUUUUUAAACUUUGGACCAGUUAGUUUUUCAGAAGAGAGAAUCCUUAUAUAAUUGUAUGUUAUUUAAUAGAUACUUUUUUUUUUCCUUUAAUAGAAUGUCCUUGACAGAGAAUGAUCCUUAUUAAGCAAGGACCUCAUAUUAAUGAUGCUCUAAGACACUUUCUCUUGUAUGUCAACUUUUCAAAUCUAUCAACACAAAAGUUACAAUAUCAUAAUAUCAUAAAGUUAACAUUCAACAUCGCUCAAGAGAACACACAUUAAAAGAAAAUAUUUUUUAAUUUUUUUUCAACUCAUUUCAUUUUGGGUAUAGUAAUAGCGGUUGAAUAAAGACACUAGAGCCAGUCCAAUCACACUUUUUUAUUAUUUGAUUCUCACACUCCAAACAAAUAUCAACAUAUCAAUGUUAUUUUAUUAUAAGUUUAAUAAUGGUAGGUUGACGGUUUAAAACAAUUUUGCAUACACAUCGCAAUCAAAACAUUUCAAAUUGCAGCAAAACGGACAGAUCCAGGGAACUUCAGGUGGCUGCAUGUACAUAAAAGACAAACAAAUGAUAUGAUGUAACAGGUACGUUGCAUGACAAAUUUCUUCUCUAUGAUUGUAAUGCUACAAAUUCAAUUGAUAUUCCGACAGCAAAUUAUUUUCAUUAGGAAAUAUAUAUACAUUGGUUGUUUUCCGGACAGAUACAUGGAAUUUCAUCGAAUAGAUUAAAUUAUAGAUAGUGCAAAUAACAAAAGGAAAAAUAUUGCUCUAGUGACAUCAUUUUGGUUGGUUUUUCAAUAGGCUCCAGUGACAUCAUUUUAGCCACUUAUUUUUUUAGAAGCAAUCAUUUAAGCCUGUUUUAAAAAUAAAAAUAAAAACUUAUUUGUGGUUUAUAGCACAUGCGCUUAUCAUGAUAAGUGAUUAUCUAUAAGCUUACAUAAUCUGUUUCUAUGGCAAAAGAUAAAAUAAAAUUGUUUUCGUAUAUGCUAUAAGUUGUUUCCAUAAACUAUUUUGGAGAACUUACAAAAAAAAGCUUAUGAAAAAUGUCAUAAGCUAUUUUUAUAAGUUGUCCAAAACAGUAUCACAAAACUUAUGCCGGUAGAUAAGCUCAAGCCCUAAUGGGAUAACUUGUACAACUUUUCAUGAUUUGUUUCAAGAAGGAAAAUCAAACGGAACCGUAAAAACAGUUUGUAAAAACCAAGAGUUCAUGGUUUGUCAUGAACCAAACUUGUUUUAAGAUUCAGUGCACCAGGUUAUGCGCUUUUUGGACCAAUAUUGUUUUGAAUGGAGGCCAUGGUGCUGUCAUAGGCCGCAAUGGCGUGUUUAUUGGGGUUUUCUGCCAUAUUCCACACAACACUGUUUUGAAUAAAUAGGUUCUAUCUUUAUAGAACAGAGAUGUUACCUUUACGAACCGAACUGUAUCUUGACUAACCGAGAUGCCCCCAUAGGCUUGGUUUGUGUGUGUAGUACGCGGUAACAAUUUCCAGAUUUCAAUUUGAGUAUUAUGUUUUUCCAGAAUUGUGGGCAUACAGGAGUAAAGAGCAACAUCGGCAAAUUUAUUGGAUAGCCGUCAACUUAUUCUAGUCACUUAGUUGUUUGCUUCAUUAUGUGAAUACUUGUUCUCAAUUUAAAGCACUUAUGAAAGUUUAAAGUUUCUCUUUCAAAUCAUCAAAUACUGAGAGACUGAUUUAAUACAACUUUAUUGAAAGAACUAUAGGAAGAGUCUAUACAGAAAGAUGAUUUUUAUUUCUAUGAACAUAUAAUACAAGGAUAGAGUCUUUUAUUACAAUAUUAAUCAUGAAGACUCACUUAACUAUAAUACUCUAUUUCCGGUGACACUCUUCAAAGACCUCAUCAUGCAUGCUUUAUUUUCUUCACAUAAAUAUAGCAUAACAUGCAAGUUCAAGAUCACACGCAUUCAAUUCGCUUCUUAGCAACAAGACAGAGAGGAUUUUUCUUGUGUUGAAUAAGUCCGGCUUGACCAUGAGUGUCAAUGUCUUCCCUCUUAGCUCCUUCAGGCAUUUCCCAGUCAAAUGAACAGAGAAGAUUAGAAAGUACAAGGUCGAUGGUAGCAAUAGCCAUGUUUAAGCCGGGGCAAAUUCUUCGCCCAGAUCACCCUCUUACUCCAACCUCAACCUCAUCUAGUGAGUGUGGAUGUCAUCCAAACAAAUGGGGGUGUUGUCUUGAUCUUCAUUGCAAUCAUAAACGCACAUGGAAAUUUGUAAGCGAUGAAAAUUAAACAACGACACUUGGAUUUAUCCGUACUACAACCAACUACUCGAUCAACCUCGAUUGCAAGAUAAUGCAAAGCGUUCCUUGAUAUGUUUCGAAUCAACCUAGCCACAUCAACUUUCCUUUGAACCUAUGUUCAAGCAUGAUCAUGCUCGUCCGGAAGGAAGAAUGUAUUUGAGUAUGUUGUGACUCUAGCAUGUUGUGAAUGGAGUUCCAUUUUGUACUUAAUUCACCCAUACUACUAUAGUAAGAUACUUUUUUAACCGUCUGUGUGCAUAUUCUGCUCUGUUUGUUGUAGUAUUCCCCAUAUGUUUGACUUUAUUGAACCAAAACGUCACAACUUAUUCCUUCACCGAACCCAAAAUUUUAUUUUCAACAUAUUUCACAAACUUAGGAAAUUUGUGGCAUACAACUUUGAACCGGUUGCAAUUAUCAACAUAUGCUUGCUCUGUAUCAGAAUUCACGAUAUCCUCCCAUGCAACCAUAACCGUCUUCACCACCUCACUUGACUUGAUCUCUUUCCUAUCCUUGCCUUUUAAAUCCUUAACUUUGCAAUCUGUCUUACAUUUUGCUCUAACAUUUUUUUCAAUGUGAUGCUCACACAAGAGAGCAGUAGCUUCAAGGAAAACAAUAUACACAACAUUCAUCAAAGCAUUUUACUGAUUAGUGACAACUACUUUGGGUGAAAUAUCUUUGGAAUGCAACAGUUCACAACACCUGUCAUAAGACCAAGUAACAUUAUCUUCCUUCUCAUACAUCAUAUAACCAAAUCCACUAGAGAACAUGUACUCGGUAGAAGUGUUACCAACAAACUCAAGUAACGGAAGACGAUACUUGUUGGUCUUAUAAAUGGAACCCAUCACAAGCACCGUAGGCAACGUGUUAAACAACUUGAUACCAUGCAUUUAGGAAAAUAUCACUUACAUCAUCGGAAUCAUGAUAAUUCCUACGUGAUACAUGUACUCCUUCUCAACCAAUAAUUUCAAAAGAUGUUGCAUGUCUGUUCUCGUACCCCUAAUGGACUGCCUAUACCUGUGACAAGCAUUAUAAAUAUGCUUGAUAUUUGUUGAAGUUUUACUAUUCCUUUUCCUUAAGUUGGUAAGAAUUUUCCUCAGAUAAAUAUUUGAGUCCGUCAACUCAUGAAGGUAUAGGCUUUCAUUUGGGUUUAGACGUCCGACAAUUUUAUGACCUUUCAACACCUCUUCCAUGUCAUGGUUGUGUCUACCGUCACCAACUUGGAGGCUCCAAUCACCAACAAUCAACAAAUAACCUCUCAACCGAAACAAACACUCACAUUUAACCGAACCAGAUAUUUUGUGCCUCGUCAACUUCUUGUACUCCGUGUAUGGACCUCCUCUUUCACAUAUGACAAUAACACUCACAUUUAACCGAAUCAUCUAUAACUUCAAGGUCAACAACCGACAACACAUUAGGUGGUUCAAUAUUAGGUGGCAACUCAUUGGAGGCAUCAACAGAAACAUCCAUUACUGAAACAGUGCAAAAGCAUGGUCAGAAAAUGCAGUCACUUUAUGCACUGGUGUUGUUCUUGAAGUAGGGAUAGCUAUUCAGCUAUUGAAAUCUCAUGGUAUGUGUGUUAUGUAUAUCCGCUAAUAUAUAGACAACACCAACUAUUAGAAAAGAUUUAGAGAUUAAAGAGUUGAAUAAUUUGGUUUUGGAUAGAACAUUAUCCAUAAUUUAAUCUGUGUAGCUGACUAUACUUAAUGGGAUAGACCUGAUUAUUGUUGGUGUUGCUUUGAUUUUGGAUAGAACAUUAUCCAUAAUUUAAUCUAUGUAGCUGACUGUACUUAAUGAGAUAGACUUGAUUAUUGUUGUUGUUGCGUCAGUACUAUUUUAUUCCUUAUUUAUCACACUCUAAAUCAUUAAGAUAUACACACCACUGACUUCUUUAAGACACUUUAUAAUAUGUGUCAUCGCCAUUAAAGUUACAAUAUUAUUUUAAAUUGUUUUUGUCUCAUUCCAUUUUGAACACAUCAGUAUGGGAUGAAUAUAGACACAAAAGCAAACAUAAACAAGUCAAUAUUAUUUAUUAUCUUUUGUCAACAAAAAAAAAAAUACUAUUUAUUAUCUAUUUAUCACACUUUUUUUUGAAGAAACUAUCUAUUUAUCACACUUUAAAUGAGUAAACUACCAAUUUUGUCUUAAUCUUUAUAAUUUUUAAAUGAGUAAAUCAUCAAUUUUGUCUUGGUCUUUAUAAGUGAUUCACUAAUUAGUCUCUGACUCUACUAAUAUUUCAAAAUAGUCCUCGUCUUUGUCAAAAGUUUCUCAAUUAAGUUCCUCGUAUGUGAAAAAAAUAAUAGAAAUAUGAGUCUAAUUGAAAAACAUUUGACAAUAUUUCUAAAUAGUCUAUGUCUUUGUCAAAAGUUUCUCCAUUAAACCCAUAUUUCUAUGUUUUUUUCGCAUGACGAGAGACUUAAUUGAGAAAACUUUUGACAAAAGCAGAGACUAUUUUAAAAUAUUAGUAGAGUCGGGGGCUAAUUUGAGAAUCACUUACAAAGACAGGACCGAUUUGAUUAUUUACUCCACUUCAAAUCCUUUAAUGUAGACACCACCAACUCUUUUAAGAGCAUCCACAAUGGUAGUAACUAAUAGGGACUCCUUAAACGAGCUUCACAUGUACACAUUAUUUAUUUAUAAUUUUUUAAUAAAAGUAUCUAUUAAAGAUUCAAUGACUCUAAAGACAAUACACUAAUAUGGAUUACAAAUAAUGUAACAGGUACGUUGCAUGACAAAUUUCUUCUCCAUGAUUGUAAUGCUACAAAUUCAAUUGAUAUUCCGAAAGCAAGUUCUUUUCAUUAGGAAAUAUAUAUACAUUGGUUGUUUUCCGGACAGAUACAUGGAAUUUCAUCGAAUAGAUUAAAUUAUAGAUAGUGCAAAUAACAAAAGGAAAAAUAUUGCUCUAGUGACAUCAUUUUGGUUGGGUUUUCAAUAGGCUCCAGUGACAUCCAUUUUAUCCAUAAUUUUUUUUAGAAGACAUCAUUUAAGCCCUGUUUGAAUAAACCAUUUAUUCGCAGCUUAUAGCACAAGUGCUUAUCAUGAUAAAUGAUUAUCUAUAAGCUUACAUAAGCUGUUUCUAUGGCAAAAGAUAAAAUUAAAUUGUUUUGGUAUAUGCUAUAAGUUGUUUCCGUAAACUAUUUUGGAGAACUUGCAACUUUUCAUUGGCUGCAAUGGUGUGUUUAUUGGAGUUUUCUGCCAUAUUCCACCAUCCGUCAUCGACAACACUGUUUUGACUAAACAGGUUCUACAUUUAUAGAACAGAGAUGUUACCUUUGCAAACCGAACUGUUUUCUUGACUAACCAAGUUGCGAACCGAACUGUUUUGUGUGUAGUACAUGGUAACAAUUUCCAAAAUUCAAUUUGAGUAGUAUGUUUUUGCAGAAUUGCAGGCAUACAGGCGUAAAGAACAACAUCGGCGAAUUAUUGGAUAGCCGUCGACUUAUUCUAGUCACUUAGUUGUUUGCUUCAUAAUGUGAAUAUUUGUUCUCAAUUUAAAGCACUUAUGAAAGUUUACAGUUUCUCUUUCAAAUCAUCAAAUACUGAGAAGCUGAUUUAAUACAACUUUAUUGAAAGAAGGAAAAUGUAUAGAGAUACAAGAAAGAAAAACAACUGCUGAAAUCAAAGGGAACUACUUUGAAAAAUAACAUUCAAAAUCAACACAUCAUUUGUAGAACAUGGUCAUCGACUGAGUGAAAAACUAUUUAUAGGAUAAAACCUUAAUGUUCUUCACCAUUUCUCGACUCUCAGACUUCUUACAACAUGACAUAUCAGAUCAAAAUCAUCCUAUUUACCACUCCCCUGAACUACAAAGGAAUAGUUAAUACAGCAAGAUGAAUUUUAUUUCUUUGAACAUAUAAUACCACAUUAGAGUCUUUUAUUAUAAUAUUGAAUAUGAAGACUCACUUAACUAUAACAUGCAAUUUCAAGAUCACACGCAUUCAAUUCGCUUCUUAGCAACAAGACAGAGAGGAUUUUUCUUGUGUUGAAUAAGUCCGGCUUGACCAUGAGUGUCAAUGUCUUCCCUCUUAGCUCCUUCAGGCAUUUCCCAAUCAAAUGAAUAGAGAAGAUUAGAAAGUACAAGGUCGAUGGUAGCAAUAGCCAUGUUUAAGCCGGGGCAAAUUCUUCGCCCAGAACCAAACGGAAUCAGCUCAAAAUCUUGUCCUUUUAAAUCUAUAUCACUUCCUAUGAAUCUCUCUGGAUAAAACUCUUCUGGAUCCUUCCAUACUUCUGGGUCUCUAUGGAUCGCCAAUGCAUUCACGUACACCAAUGUCUUGUCUGGAAUGUCGUACCCUGCAAUGUUGCAAUUUGUCAUUGUUUCUCUUG
rnacentral:lncRNA from 1 species